rnacentral:rRNA from 1 species
GACGAACGCUGGCGGCGUGCCUAACACAUGCAAGUCGAGGGCUUUAGUAGCAAUACAAAGAGCACUGGCGCACGGGUGAGUAACGCGUAGAUCAUCUGCCCCUAACACUGACAUAACAGUUCUAACGGACUGCUAAUAUCAGAUGUGAUGAGCAAUCAUUAAAGGGAAACCGGUUAGGGAUGAGUCUGCGUCUGAUUAGGUAGUUGGUGAGGUAACGGCUCACCAAGCCUACGAUCAGUAACUGGUCUGAGAGGAUGAACAGUCACACUGGAACUGAGACACGGUCCAGACUCCUACGGGAGGCAGCAGUGAGGAAUAUUGCACAAUGGGAGAAAUCCUGAUGCAGCGACGCCGCGUGUGGGAAGAAGGAGCUUAGCUUCGUAAACCACUGUCGGAGGGGACGAAUGAUAGGUUAGACCUAUUGAGACGGUACCCUCAAAGGAAGGAUCGGCUAACUACGUGCCAGCAGCCGCGGUAAU